rnacentral:rRNA from 1 species
UACAGAGGUCCCGAGCGUUGUCCGGAAUCACUGGGCGUAAAGGGCGCGUAGGCGGCCUGAUAAGUAGGGGGUGAAAUCCUGAGGCUUAACCUCAGGGCUGCCUUCUAAACUGUCAGGCUCGAGCACAGUAGAGGCAGGUGGAAUUCCCGGUGUAGCGGUGGAAUGCGUAGAGAUCGGGAAGAACAUCAGUGGCGAAGGCGGCCUGCUGGGCUGUUGCUGACGCUGAGGCGCGACAGCGUGGGGAGCAAACAGG